rnacentral:rRNA from 1 species
UCCGUAGGGGGCGAGCGUUGUCCGGAUUUAUUGGGCCUAAAGCAUCCGUAGCCGGUCCUGCAAGUCUUCCGUUAAAUCCAGCUGCUCAACAGAUGGGCUGCGGGGGAUACUACAGGGCUAGGAGGCGGGAGAGGCAAGCGGUACUUUAUGGGUAGGGGUAAAAUCCGUUGAUCCAUAGAAGACCACCAGUGGCGAAGGCGGCUUGCCAGAACGCGCUCGACGGUGAGGGAUGAAAGCUGGGGGAGCAAACCGG